GCUGGCCUAGAAGAUGGAACCUCUGAUGACCCUUUAUAGGCAGUGAAUUUGUAUCAGACCUUUAUUUGUGCUGAGUAGAAAGACGACUAGCUGCUGAAUCACCACUCUGCCAUGGCGAGAGGUUAGCUUAUCCCAGGGCACGCUCCUAAGUGGGUGCUCCUCACGCUCUGUAGAAAGGUGCGGCUGACACUGUUGUGCGCCCCUCGCAAUGUGGUUUGUGGCCUGGUUUGUGUAUUUUAUUUGUAGGGCGUGAGUGGUGGUGUAUGAAUCCCUCUUACUGCUUUGGAAGCAGUUAACUGCGAGUUAGACCUGGCACUUUUGGGGGCUGAAAGUUAUCAUGUCCAACAUUUACUAACU
rnacentral:lncRNA from 1 species